rnacentral:rRNA from 1 species
GACGAACGCUGGCGGCGUGCUUAACACAUGCAAGUCGAACGUGAUUUUUGUAGAAAUUCUUUCGGGAAUGGAAAUGAAAUGAAAGUGACGAACGGGUGAGUAACACGUGAGCAACCUACCUUACACAGGGGGAUAGCCGUUGGAAACGACGAUUAAUACCGCAUGAGACCACAGAAUCGCAUGAUAUAGGGGUCAAAGAUUUAUCGGUGUAAGAAGGGCUCGCGUCUGAUUAGCUAGUUGGAAGGGUAAAGGCCUACCAAGGCGACGAUCAGUAGCCGGUCUGAGAGGAUGAACGGCCACAUUUGGAACUGAUACACGGUCCAAACUCCUACGGGAGGUAUCUUUGGUAAUUAUUUAUUUUUU